rnacentral:rRNA from 1 species
UACGUAGGGUCCGAGCGCUGUCCGGAAUUAUUGGGCGUAAAGGGCUCGUAGGCGGUCUGUCGCGUCGGGAGUGAAAACUUACAGCUUAACUGUGAGCGUGCUUUCGAUACGGGCAGACUUGAGGCAUUCAGGGGAGAACGGAAUUCCUGGUGUAGCGGUGAAAUGCGCAGAUAUCAGGAGGAACACCGGUGGCGAAGGCGGUUCUCUGGGAAUGUCCCGACGCUGAGGAGCGAAAGUGUGGGGAGCGAACAGG